GAUGAACGUUGGCGGUGUGCCUAAUACAUGCAAGUCGAACGGAGAUUGUAGCAAUACGGUCUUAGUGGCGAACGGGUGAGUAACGCGUUGGUGACCUGCCCCGAAGUGUGGGAUACCAGGCCGAAAGGCUUGCUAAUACCGCAUGCACAACCGAGGACUAGGAGAUUGGUUGUAAAGGGAUUUAUCCCGCUUUGGGAGGGGCCUGCGUCCCAUCAGCCAGUUGGUAAGGUAACGGCUUACCAAGGCGAUGACGGGUAGGGGACCUGAGAGGGUGACCCCCCACAAUGGAACUGAAAAC
rnacentral:rRNA from 1 species